rnacentral:rRNA from 1 species
CUUGCUCCACCGGAAAAAGAAGAGUGGCGAACGGGUGAGUAACACGUGGGUAACCUGCCCAUCAGAAGGGGAUAACACUUGGAAACAGGUGCUAAUACCGUAUAACAAUCGAAACCGCAUGGUUUUGAUUUGAAAGGCGCUUUCGGGUGUCGCUGAUGGAUGGACCCGCGGUGCAUUAGCUAGUUGGUGAGGUAACGGCUCACCAAGGCCACGAUGCAUAGCCGACCUGAGAGGGUGAUCGGCCACAUUGGGACUGAGACACGGCCCAAACUCAUACGGGAGGCAGCAGUAGGGAAUCUUCGGCAAUGGACGAAAGUCUGACCGAGCAACGCCGCGUGAGUGAAGAAGGUUUUCGGAUCGUAAAACUCUGUUGUUAGAGAAGAACAAGGAUGAGAGUAACUGUUCAUCCCUUGACGGUAUCUAACCAGAAAGCCACGGCUAACUACGUGCCAGCAGCCGCGGUAAUACGUAGGUGGCAAGCGUUGUCCGGAUUUAUUGGGCGUAAAGCGAGCGCAGGCGGUUUCUUAAGUCUGAUGUGAAAGCCCCCGGCUCAACCGGGGAGGGUCAUUGGAAACUGGGAGACUUGAGUGCAGAAGAGGAGAGUGGAAUUCCAUGUGUAGCGGUGAAAUGCGUAGAUAUAUGGAGGAACACCAGUGGCGAAGGCGGCUCUCUGGUCUGUAACUGACGCUGAGGCUCGAAAGCGUGGGGAGCAAACAGGAUUAGAUACCCUGGUAGUCCACGCCGUAAACGAUGAGUGCUAAGUGUUGGAGGGUUUCCGCCCUUCAGUGCUGCAGCUAACGCAUUAAGCACUCCGCCUGGGGAGUACGACCGCAAGGUUGAAACUCAAAGGAAUUGACGGGGGCCCGCACAAGCGGUGGAGCAUGUGGUUUAAUUCGAAGCAACGCGAAGAACCUUACCAGGUCUUGACAUCCUUUGACCACUCUAAAAGAUAGAGCUUCCCCUUCGGGGGCAAAGUGACAGGUGGGUGCAUGGGUUGUCGUCAGCUCGUGUCGUGAAAAUGUUGGGGUUAAGUCCCCGCAACGAAGCGC